rnacentral:lncRNA from 1 species
AAAAAUCUGCAAUAUCUCGAUCAUGAUUCGCUACUGUGUCCCUUUCGGAAGUUCGGAUGCGUGACUCCAGUUCUGGUGCUGUUCUACAAUUACUUCGCGACCCGAUCCCUGAAACCCCUAACCAUGGGUUCAGGGAGUACCUUGUAACGG